rnacentral:rRNA from 1 species
GAUGAACGCUGGCGGCGUGCUUAAUACAUGCAAGUCGAACGGGGACCGAGCAAUCGGUUCUAGUGGCGAACGGGUGCGUAACGCGUUGGUGACCUGCCCCGAAGCGGGGGAUACCAGCUCGAAAGGGCUGCUAAUACCCCAUGUGGACGCCCGAGUUAGAGACGGGUGAUCUAAAGGCGGGCUCGUAAGAGCCCUGUCGUUUUGGGAGGGACCUGCGUCCCAUCAGCUAGUUGGUAGGGUAGUGGCCUACCAAGGCGACGACGGGUAGGGGGCCUGAGAGGGUGGCCCCCCACACUGGCACUGAAAUACGGGCCAGACACCUACGGGUGGCAGCAGUAGGGAAUAUUGCACAAUGGGCGCAAGCCUGAUGCAGCAACGCCGCGUGCGCGAUGAAGGCCUUCGGGUCGUAAAGCGCUUUUCGGGGAGAAGAGGAAGGACUGUACCCCCGGAAUAAGUCUCGGCUAACUACGUGCCAGCAGCCGCGGUAAAACGUAGGAGGCAAGCGUUAUCCGAAUUUACUGGGCGUAAAGCGUGUGCAGGCGGCUUGAUAAGUUGGGUGUGAAAUCUCCCGGCUCAACUGGGAGAGGUCGCUCAAGACUGUCAGGCUGGAGGGCAGUAGAGGGUGGUGGAAUUCCCGGUGUAGUGGUGAAAUGCGUAGAUAUCGGGAGGAACACCUGUGGCGAAAGCGGCCACCUGGACUGUACCUGACGCUGAGACACGAAAGCUAGGGGAGCGAACGGGAUUAGAAACCCCGGUAGUCCUAGCCGUAAACGAUGUAGACUGGGUGUCGGUGGGGUAAAAGCCAUCGGUGCCGAAGCUAACGCGCUAAGUCUACCGCCUGGGGACUACGGCCGCAAGGUUA